rnacentral:lncRNA from 1 species
CCACACAUUUUCCAUUUGCAAGAAACAUAUUCUCUCUUAUUCCUUUCUCUCUCCCUCUCUUAUUCCUAAAUCAAAUCCCAUGCUUUUUCAAGCUUGAAGCCACAUGUUUUCCAGAUCUAUAUAUUGUUUUUCAAGAUCUAUAUAUUGUUUUUCAAGCUUGAAGCCACUUGUUUCCCUCACUUAACCAUCAUUCAUCCCCAAUUUCUAUAUAUUGUAUCAAAUGUGGAAGUGAACAGAUCUGAGUCGGAGGUGAACAGAGUGACGUGAAGCAUGGUGCGGGUCAGCCACCAAGAUCUGAAAUCGAACAACCACCAUUAUCACUAAGCACAAGAAGAAAAGCAUAGUAGAGUUGCAGAGAAAUGAUGGUAUGGAGCCAGUAUGUGACUAACGGCAAAAUAUCUUCAAAUUGUUAUUUGAGUCACAGCACCUCAGGGAAGAAUGCAUUAUCCGAAACUUUGGCGUAGAACAAUAUUUGAAUAUACAAGAAACGAUAUUUGGCAUUUUUGGCGUUUUACUGAGGAAAUAGUGUAUCUGAAAGAACCGUCGAUUCUUUUUGGAAUUUUUGAUGUUUGAGUGUUUUGGCAUUUUCUAAGAUGAAUGGUAUAUAGUAGAAAAUAUCGCAUUUUUGAGUAGUUGUGUUUGAUGUUUUAGGGAUUUUGGCGCUGUAAGUUGAAUGGUAUAUAGUAGAAAAUAUGGCAUUUCAGGUUCUAGGAGGUGUGUUUUUAUGUUUGGGAUGUUUUUGU